GGCCGUGUAGCCAAGUGGUAUGGCACCUGGGAUUUUUCUCCUUCUCUGAAUAAAGAUCACUGGGAGGUCCCCCGUUCGAGUCGGGGCGUGGCCU